UGGGGAAUCUUGCACAAUGGGGGCAACCCUGAUGCAGCGACGCCGCGUGAGCGAUGAAGCCCUUCGGGGCGUAAAGCUCUUUCGACCGGAACGAUAAUGACGGUACCGGGAGAAGAAGCUGCGGCUAACUACGUGCCAGCAGCCGCGGUAAUACGUAGGCAGCAAGCGUUGUUCGGAGUUACUGGGCGUAAAGAGUGCGUAGGCGGUUUUCUAAGUUCGGUGUGAAAUCUCCCGGCUUAACUGGGAGGGUGCGCCGAAGACUGGGAAGCUGGAGUGUGGGAAAGGCAGGCGGAAUUCCUGGUGUGGCGGUGAAAUGCGUAGAUAUCAGGAGGAACACCGGCGGUGUAGACGGCUUGCUAAACCAUAACUGGCGCUGAGGCACGAAAGCGUGGGUAGCAAACA
rnacentral:rRNA from 1 species